AUUCACCUCCUGCUGACUCGGGAAGCUGUUCCACCAUCCAUCACGCAAGAUGAAACGCGGAAAAGUUCAGUAAAACCACCAAGUAAGUGGUGGAGCUGGGACUCAGUCCAGGCACCCAGACAACCUGGUUCCAGAGUUGGGCUCUACAUUUUACUGCCAAUGCAGUUCAUGGAAAUAACAAAGAUGUGACCUGGAGAAAUACCCAUGACUGUAGCUUUGUGCUUUCACACCCAACCAGGCUACCUCCACAAAUCAGUCUGGCCAGUGCUCACUACUCCAGGCCCCAGAGUCAGAUUUUGUCAUAGUUGCUUAUUGUCAAUUUCCUCCUUCUCUUAAGGAGACUGCAAACCCCUUCUCAGGCCAGUGUCUAUUCAGGGUGGUUUUUGCUCACCCCAGUUCAGACUCCUAACCGGAGUACAAGGCGUUAGAAAGGGGUGGACCGAGGACAGAGGAAGAAUGGUAGGCUCCACAAACCUAGUGCAGAAAGGUAAGACAUGCGAUCAUUUCUUGCUUUUUUUUUUUUUUUGUGACAGAGUUUUGCUGGAGUGCAAGUGGAGUGCAGGCUGGAGUGUAGUGGCAUGAUCAUAACUCACUGCAGCCUAGACCUCCCAGGCUUAAGCAAUCCUCCUGCCUCAGCCUCCUGAGUAGCUAGGGCUACACAUGUGCACUACCAUACCUGGCUAAUUUUUUUAUUUUUGUAGAAAUGGGAUCUCUCCAUGUUGCCCAGGCUGAUCUCGAACUCCUGGGCUCAAGCGAUUCUCUCGUGUCUGCCUCCCAAAUUGCUGGGAUUACAGACGUGAACCACUGUGCCCAAUUUUCCUGCUUCUUCCUAAUCUCUUUUCCUCCCUCUGAGGAUGAGGAUAAUUCCCAAAGAUGCUAACAAAGCUGUGAAUGUGGAGGAACCAGAAUUUUGCUCUGCGUCUAGGGCAACGUUUUAUUUGGUUGUUAGAAACACCUAAUUAAUAUACACAAUUUUACUUCACGUGCCUGUUGUUUCUUGAAAGGCGAGGGGUUCCUCUUUGAGUAUCAUGCAAUCCCAUCUUUAUCAAAUGUUAUUUGAGAAAACUGCCACUGAAAAAUCAAUAAAACAGUUAUUGGAAAAGAAUCAUCCCGAUGAGUGUCCAUUAAGUCUCUAGCAAAGAUUGAUUUCAAAUAAAGGACUGUUGUAUAAAAAACUAACUCUUGGCUAUAAGAGCUUAUAAUGGUGGAAUAGUUUUUGUGUCUGCUUUUAAAAGCUAUUUGGAUCAUUUUCCUCCUUGUCAGCACUCUUUAUAUCUAUGGGAUCAUUCUUUAAUGCAAACAUAGUAGUUCAAGGCAUAGAAUCUGGAGCGAAAUUAUUUGGACUCAUUUCUGGCUUGGUCACUCUCUGAGUUUGGGUUUGCUCAAAAUUUGAUGAGGAUUUGGGUGCAAGCAGCUUAUUUGAGAGGUAACAGCAGGAAGUGCCAGUAAGGAAGUGGGGAAGUGAUGCAGGAAAGUAAAGACAAACAAGAUGGUGGGCAUGAAGGAGUGGGCACUGCCGGGUAUCUGGGGACCAUUCCCGCAGGCAUCCACUGGGAAACUACAGAGCUCAUGCUUCAGUGGUGCGCUACCCCAGGAGUGAGAAAGCUGGGAAUUCAUCUACCAGCUCCCAUCCUGCAUUGGUUGAGGGCUACUCCCGAGGUUGUGAGCUUCCUGGAAUUUCUAGCCUGUCCCUGGGCAAGUCGAGCCUGCUCCUGUGGCCAGAGCAGCCCGCUGGUGAGAGUUGUGCUGGCACAGGACCAGUGGGAGACAAGAGAAUAUGAGAGAGGACCAACAGCAUCUGCUGCAGCCCAACCCGUCACACUCAGAUCCACUCAUGAAACUGUCCAAUCAAUGAUUUCUCAAAGCAUCUGGUCAUAGUUUCCAAGGAAGAAAAAGAUUUAUCACAGGCAUAUUCGUGAGACAAGCUACAGCCCCUUCUGCUGCAGUUAGUCCAAAGGCUCUAACUCUACUCUUCAUCAUCUGACUCUUCUUUCUCCCACUCUAGGUUCCCCCGACCCCCAUCCUGGCCUUCGCUGGUCUAGGUUGUGUGCCCAGUGAGGUAACCUAGACCUUCACCCCUCAUUUCCAUGUCUUCAUCAGCCUAUGGUUGCUGUAGUUGUCCGUUCACCAUACAGAAGCACCAAGAGGGGACCCGGCUGUCCCCUGAGUUCCAGAGAUACUUCCUCUCGCUCCCACUGUGUAGAAGCAAGCCUGCCUCCUGUGACAUCCAACAUCAAUGAUCCCUGCCAGGAUAGAAUUUUUUUUCUUUGGCUUGCUGGACUUCUAGCCAAAGGAGUUUAAGAUGACCAAUUGACAGGUGUAAUAUUAGAUUCAGUGAAAUCUUGACUCUAUUCCCUGAUAUAAGAUUCCCUCCACCUCCUUCCCCCUUCCCCACUGCCAAUUCACUUUGGGAACCAGGAUCUUUAGUUUAGCAGAAAGCAAAGUUAAAGAAACAGGAAGUACAAAUUCCCCAAGCCAGUCACUAGGAAUGAAAAUGAGAGGGUCACUUUCUACUUUUAUUUCCUACCCCCGCAUAUUCUACCUACUAGAGACAUAAGCACCAUAUAAUGAUGUGAUGCAUAUACUGCAUCUUAAAGACCAGUGUCCGAACCCUGUGGUGUAUCAUUCCCAGCUGGCAUCUUAGCUAAGUCUUCAUGAGGCUUCAUGGCAUGUGCUGUAACAAGCGGUCAGUAAAUGAGAACUGUUAUAGCUGCUGAUGUUGAUAAAUACUCUCCUAUAGGAUAUACAUUCAGACCUUAAAAACUAAUGUGGAACUUCAUAUCAUGGAGCCCAGAGUAAGACAACCUUUGUUUUUAGGUUCAAUUAGGCUGAAGCCUCCAGGUUAAGGAACAAAGCCAUGGGGUUGUCUUCCUUUGCAAAUUAGGUGACUGGGCUCCCAGAAAAGAAGAGGGGAAAAUUACAUAAGCAAAUUAUAGUUUCUCAAGACAUAUAAAUCUUCACUGUGGGGCAAGUCUUACAACGUUGGUGGAAAGCUCUUAGUACUGCCAGUGAUGUUCAUUCCUUCCCAUCUUCCUACCACAAGGCCAUGUGGACUAGGUCAAAGCUGUAUAAGAGGCUGGGCAUGGUGGCUCAUGCCUGUAAUCCCAGCAUUUUGGGAGACCUAAGCAGGAAGAUCACUUGCAUCUAGCAGUUUGAGAACAGCCUUGCAACAUAGCAAAACCUUGUCUCUAUAAAAAGUUUUAAAAAUUAAUUGGGUGCAAUGGCACGCACCUGUAGUCCUAAGUCCCAGGUUAACUGAGGUCAGAGGAUUACUUGAGCCCAAGAGUUCGAGGUGGUGAGCCAUGAUUGCACCACUGCACUCCAGUUUAGGCAACAGAGUGAGACUUUGUCUCAAAAGGAAAAAAAAAAAUCUGGUAUGCGAGAUGGAGGUUAGAAGACGGAAGCCCCUGCUCUGCCAUCAAUUCAUCAUCAGACAUUGGGUCCAUUUCUCAACAUCUCUAGACCUUAAUUCUCCCAUCCAUUAACUGGAUAAAAUACUGGCAUUCGUUACCUUACUGAUAAAUAAGAUGGUAUACAUGUGUGAAGGAAUUUUAAAGUUAAAUACUAUUUAAUAUAAGUUUAUAUGAAAAUUGUCAGCUCUGUAAGAGAUGGAACCUGGGCCUUUGAACACAGCCUUCAAAGCAAUGCAUCUGUAGGAAUUAUCUGUGGCCAUGUAUUAACCAGGGUUCUCCAGAGAAACACAACUAAUAGGAUAUAUAUAGAUACAUAAGAGGAGAUUUAUUAUGGGAAUUGGCUCAUGCAGUUAUGGAGGGCUGAAAAGUCAGCUGUCUGUGAGCUGGAGAACCAGGAAAGUUGGUGGGGUAUAGUACAGUUCAAGGCCAAAGCCCUGAGAACCAAGGAGGGGUGUCCAAAGGUCUGAGAACCAGGAGCACAAAUGUCCACGAACAGGAGAAGAUGGAUGUCUCAGUUCCAGAAGAAAGAGAAAAAUUGGCCUUUCCUCUAACUUUUUGUUUCAUUUGGCCCUGCUAUGGUUUGAAUAUUUGUCCCCUCCAAAACUCAUGUCGAAAUGUAAUCCGCAAUGCACCAGUAUUGAGAGGCGGGGGCUAUAAGAGGAGAUUAGGUCAUGAAGGCUCAUGGAUUCAUAAAUAGAUUAAUGGAUUAUCAUGGGAGGGGAACUGGUGGCUUUAUAAGAGGAGAAAGAGAGACCUGAGCUAGCACACUCAGCCCCCACACCAUGGGAUGCCCUGUACUUACUCAGGACUCUGUAAAGAGUUUCCUCCAUCAGGAAGGCCCUCAUCAGAUGUGGCCCCUCAACCUUGGGCUUCUCAGCCUGCAUAACUGUAAUAAAUAAAUUUCUUUCCUUUUUUAAUUACUCAGUCUCCAGUAUGUUCUUAUAUGCAAAAUGAACUAAGACAGGCCCUCAGUGGAUUAGAUG
rnacentral:lncRNA from 10 species